rnacentral:lncRNA from 1 species
AAAAACCACGCGGGGUAAAGGCGGGUUUUUUCCCUUUCGCUCGGGUGUUUUUUUUGUUUUUUUUUUUGGGGGGGGGAUGUUUUUAGUUGAAGAACAUUAAAUUAUUUAAUCUUCCGUAACACGUUACAGGAAAAAUUGGUGUCUUCCAGGUAGCUGUCGUGAUCGAUCCUAACGCCUGCUCUGCGGUGAGGUGCUGAGCUCGCCCUCCUCGCUUGUAGGACGUAGGAGGACCGCUCGCCAGCGGGUCUGCUGUGACAAAAAGGGGCAAAAAAGUGUUUUUUGGCAUGGGAAGGGGCGGCCAGGACCCCCCCAGGAUCCUUUUGGGCAUGGUGAGAGAUUCCCCAGCCUCUUCUCAGCCCGGCUGGAGGUUGGGGAAUGGGAGCGCGGAGCCCAGCGGUUUGGGGACGGAGGCUGGCUGGUGAGGGCGUGCCCCCUGCCCCAUUUUUUUUUGGGUUACGGACGAGGUUGGAGGAGAAAUGCUCCUCCAAGUGGUGAAGAUCCAGCCAGAGGUGAGGGGCUCGUGGAGGCUGUGAGGAUUGGGGCCGUUUCUGGGCACUUUUGGCUCGCCCAUGGGCGCACGGUCGGUGGCACCCUGCUCGCCGGGCUUCCCCGAGGUGCCCGAGGGCUCAGGGGGCUGUCUCGAGGGCAUUCCCGCUUGCAGACAACACCAUUUGUAAAUUCUCAGCAAAAACUAGAUUUUUCUUCCUUUUUCCUAAGAGGAAAAAAAAAUAGAUUUUGGAUUUUUCCCUCCAGCGUGCCAAAAUAUUUGCGCUCGCCCCGCGGCACGUGUGCGAGUCCCGCAGCCCCCGGGCUCUGCGAUGCUCCUGGAGCCCUCCGACAGCUCCAGCCCCUCGGUGGGAAGCAUCCCUGUGGUUUUUGAGCCCUUGAAAAGCACCGAAUGCUCAGUUUGGGGAGGAAAGUGCCAGAAAUGGUGCAGAGCUGCUGGUUACGGAGUCUCCUCCUCGCUGGUGGGAUCUGAUGAGGUUUGGGUGUGUUUUUUUUUUUUAUUAUUAUUUCCUUCCCCUGGCUCAAUGGCACCCGCGGAGGGCGAGGAGCCAAAACCUUUCCUGCCCAUGGGGGCGAGAGGCUUGGGCGAGCCCUUUUGGCAGCCAAAUUUUGGUGUUUUGGUUGCAGAAGGGUUUCCAUCAUGGGNNNNNNNNNNGGAUCUGAUGAGGUUUGGGUGUGCUUUUUUUUUUUUAUUAUUAUUUCCUUCCCCUGGCUCAAUGGCACCCGCGGAGGGCGAGGAGCCAAAACCUUUCCUGCCCAUGGGGGCGAGAGGCUUGGGCGAGCCCUUUUGGCAGCCAAAUUUUGGUGUUUUGGUUGCAGAAGGGUUUCCAUCAUGGGUUUUGAAGGAUUUCCAGCCCAAACCCAGCGCUCUGCCACCUUUGCAGGCACCCACGGGGAGAACCGGAGCUGCGGGGGACCCCAGAGAGGCCAAAUUUUGGUGUUUUGGUUGCAGAAGGGUUUCCAUCAUGGGUUUUGAAGGAUUUCCAGCCCAAACCCAGCGCUCUGCCACCUUUGCAGGCACCCACGGGGAGAACCGGAGCUGCGGGGGACCCCAGAGAGGCCAAAUUUUGGGGUGGGGGCUCGCUCCUGGGGGCGCUGCCUUUUCCUCUGCCCAUAUCCACGGUGAGAAAAAGGUGCCCAGGAGGUGGCCGCCAUGCUGCUGCCCCCACCAAAGCCACCUUGGAGGUGGUGGGGAGAGAGCAAGACCUUGCUAA